rnacentral:rRNA from 1 species
GCUGGACAAUACAAUAACCUUUUUAAUUUUCAAUCAGCGUCUGAAAAAAACUUAAUAAUUACAACUUUCAACAACGGAUCUCUUGGUUCUGGCAUCGAUGAAGAACGCAGCGAAAUGCGAUAAGUAGUGUGAAUUGCAGAAUUCAGUGAAUCAUCGAAUCUUUGAACGCACAUUGCGCCCCUUGGUAUUCCAUGGGGCAUGCCUGUUCGAGCGUCAUUUGUACCUUCAAGCUUUGCUUGGUGUUGGGUGUUUGUCCUCCCCGUUUGUGUUUGGACUCGCCUUAAAACAAUUGGCAGCCAGUGUUUUGGUAUAGAAGCGCAGCACAAGUCGCGAUUCUAGCCAAUCAACGCUGACAUCCAGAAGUCUUUUUUUUAACUUUGACCUCGGAUCAGGUAGGUCCAAUUCCA